AAACAGAUGACUCACAUUAAUGUACUUCUACACAGGGAUUAACAGGACAAUGGAAACAAUUUAAUUCUGUUUGCAACUGAAGCUGGUGGAGAGAGUUCAAAUAAUAUUACUCAUUUUGUGUCUAAUAUGCAUGCUUUAGACUUUUACUGCUUUCAGUGGAUAAACAAGGUCCUUGGAUACACCAUCAAUUUGUGACACUGAAAAACUAGAUGGUUUCUCUUCUUCUAGAGCAUGCGCCGAAACUGCUCAAUCGCUUUUCAUAAGACAAACUUCUGAUCUCUGGAAUCAACCUAAUGAACCUCCUCUGAACUGCCUCCAAAACAACUACAUCCCUUCU